AUCGAGGCUAGAGUCACAUCCCGAUACGUCUGGUUGUCCUGGUGUGCUAGAGCUCUCGUAGAGUAAUAUUUCUCUGCUUAUUCAUUGGCUGACCCUUCUCAUUGCUCAGCCAAUCACCAGCUCAGAAACACUC